UGGGGAAUAUUAGACAAUGGGGGCAACCCUGAUCCAGCAAUGCCGCGUGUGUGAAGAAGGUCUUCGGAUUGUAAAGCACUUUCGACGGGGACGAUGAUGACGGUACCCGUAGAAGAAGCCCCGGCUAACUUCGUGCCAGCAGCCGCGGUAAUACGAAGGGGGCUAGCGUUGCUCGGAAUGACUGGGCGUAAAGGGCGUGUAGGCGGUUUACACAGUCAGAUGUGAAAUCCCCGGGCUUAACCUGGGAGCUGCAUUUGAUACGUGUAGACUAGAGUGUGAGAGAGGGUUUGUGGAAUUCCCAGUGUAGAGGUGAAA
rnacentral:rRNA from 1 species